UGAGCGUUAUUGUUGUUGCACGUGCAGUUUCAAGGAUGGUGGUCGUUGUGUGCCUACAACAGAGUGACACCGAUACCUGCUCCUGAUCCGGUCACGGAGAGCGCCGCUGCAUCUGCACGGCAUGCUCCCGUUCCCGGACAACUGGCCUCCACUCCCGACCGGCUGCCGGCUCCUGAUCGAGCGCCUGCUCCUGGCUAGCCGCCUGUUCCGGCGCCGCCCGGGCUGACCGGAGCGGUGCCCGCGCCGGGUGUGACCACCGUCCCGCCGUCCGCACCCUCUCCCAGCGCGCCGCGGUACCGGCUGAGAGACCGGUCCACCCUGCAGCCCCCAGACCGAUACGUGGCGAGCUAUGAGUAGGCGUUUUGUUUCAGUUGUUAUUUGUUCUGUGAGGUGCAUAUUUAUUUGUUUGUCCAUGCUGUGCAAGUAUUCGGGGUGGAGGAGUGUCAUGGAGCUGAGCUGGCGGCCGCCGCGCCGGUGCACGCGUACUUGCGCUCGUGACAUGCGCUCAUGACACUCGUAUGUGAACCGUGGUGGCGUUGCCUCUGUGACCCGGGGGCUACCUGGCCGGCUCGAAUACAGUUUGGACCGAGA